rnacentral:rRNA from 1 species
AUAACCUGCCUCAUACAGGGGGAUAACAGUUAGAAAUGACUGCUAAUACCGCAUAAGCGCACAGAGAUGCAUGUCUCGGUGUCGAAAAGCUGAGGCGGUAUGAGAUGGAUCCGCGUCUGAUUAGCUGGUUGGCGGGGUAGAGGCCCACCAAGGCGACGAUCAGUAGCCGACCUGAGAGGGUGGCCGGCCACAUUGGGACUGAGACACGGCCCAAACUCCUACGGAAGGCAGCAG